GACAGAGGUGCCGAGCGUAGGCGGAAUCACUGGGCUUAAAGCGUGUGUAGGCGGAUCGUUAAGUACCUUGUGAAAUCCCACGGCUUAACCGUGGAACUGCUGGGUAUACUGGCGAUCUUGAGCCACCUAGGGGCAACCGGAACAAAUGGUGGAGCGGUGAAAUGCGUAGAUAUCAUUUGGAACGCCAAUGGUGAAAACAGGUUGCUGGGGGUGUGCUGACGCUGAGACACGAAAGCCAGGGGAGCGAACGGG
rnacentral:rRNA from 1 species